UUUUCCAGUUAAGAUAAAAUACACAUUAAAAGUGUAGAUCGUACGUUAAAGCCUAUUUUAUAAGCAUGUAACAACUAUGACGUCACAAAAGCCAAGUCAACUGCAAGACACACACACGCAAUCGUACGAGUUCUAGGAAAAAAUAUCGAAAUUCCAAGAAUUCACACGAAAUACAAAAUGAGAUUGCCUCGAGCGAGCGAGCGACGGUCAACCAAGCGGGCGAGCGAGCGAGGGAGCUGGAACGAUGCGGCAAGGUAUUCCCUUGUCUCUGGUGCUUAUCACAACUCACGCGCGUCUCGUUCCAUUUCGAACCCAAAAUCACAUUAUCUCCGUUGCCCAAUACCAAUGGCAACGGCGACUCAACUAAUGGAUACUCUGCGGCGUAAAGCAUAUCACAGAUGAUGAUGAUGGGCUCUUUGGGCAACAACGAACGAGAAGCAGACGCCGCCGACGCGGCCGCUGCCGCCGUUGCCAUGGCCGUAGAGGAAGAUUGAAGAUGCGGCGCUUAUCGAAACAGAAACACAAGACAAGAGACAAACGGCAAAGAAGACGAACCCGAAAAGAGUUCAGCUGGCUGCGCAGGAUAGCACUCGGUCUAUACUGGAACUCUGGAUCUGGAGUCACCGAGUCACCAGCUCACCAGCACUCUGCGCAUAUUUCUGUGUCUCUGCUUAUCGUCGGCGCUGCGGACUUUUUGUUUUAUUUCUUUUUUUUUUGGUUUUCGUUUUUUUGUACACGUUUGCAUCUUGAAAUGCACAUGGGCAAAAUGAUCGGAGCUGUGACGGCGCUGAGAAAGGGUUCCACUUCCACCUCAGAAAUGUGGCGCCAAAGGAAGCGUUGAAAAUGGUACUUGAUAUUGAUCGCGAUGUCCGUGUGUGUGUAUCUCUACAUCUGUGCGAGUGUGCGUGCGUGCGUGUGUGUGUGAGGUUCUGUAAUUUAGACGGCGCCUCGAUCCUUGUUUCACACUAAUGCACUUGCAGCUUUUAAAUGUCACCACAACUCGUGCGGGGGGCUGAGGUUAAGUGCAGACGAGGGGCAACGUAUCGGAUCGGACGGCUCCACUGGUUGCUUGUCAGAUAUGGCCUCUAGGCCAUUUGUGAGCUGCAAGUUUUAUUUUGUUGCCUCCGAUGGCAGAGCAUGCAAGACGAUUGUGUAUUCAAUUGGAAUAAUUAGCGGUAUCAGUCAGGAUUUGUUUAUGUUGCCUGCCAUGACAAAUAUCCAAACGGAAUCCAUUUAAAGCAGAACUCAAUACUUGUUUUUUAAGAAUGUUGUACGAUUGUAAAGUUGUUAAAUAUUAAAAAAGAAAAAGGUUAUAUGCAAUUGUGCGUUUCCGAA